AAAAAAAGAAGCAGCAGAGUUAGACCCACAGGAGAUCCAGAUUCUGUCAUUAACAGCAGUUCCGGUCACGUCCAACUACAUCACAGCAUCUCCUGGGCCAAGCCCGACACGAAGCCCACUGGCCUGGCCCGCCUCACUGGACUGAAGGGUGCAAAUGAACAGGUCACCCACCCACCCUCCUGUCCUCUGAGCAGCCUUCGAUGCCCUGGGGCCCAGUCUGGUGCUCUGGUGGGGGGUCAGAACACAUGGCCUUUACCUGGACAGGGCACUGUCCGUGCAGGACUGUGUAACUUUUGACUGUCCAGCUGACCCCCCAACCGUUCACCACUACACUUCACGUGUCUGGAACAGGUUUUCCCAAAUCAUCCGGAGCAAGGACAGCUGCCUUUGUUAAUAUUUCUUGUUCUCAUGGACCAACACCUUCGUAGAAUGCAACAGGGUUUAAUUACUAGAAAGAUGAAACUAACAAAGAUUGCCAUGUUUUCAUUAUUAGAAUAAACAGACCGCUAUAAAGUUUGCAAGCGCACACGACCUCCACGCUCACGCCCCGUGACACAGGAACUGGGCCCUGAACCAGGACCCCGGCAACCCCUCCCAUCCUGGCCCCCGCCCGAGUGUCCAGGGGAGCGGCUGCUCAGGGAUGCAGAUCCCGCAAGGCCCACCCUGCCCCCAUUCGUCCGAGCUCUCCGCGGCAGCCACUCGGAGACCCUCUGCCCUCCCGGCUCUCUCCCAGAACAGCUUCGUGCGUGCUGUUCCCACCUCUUGUUGCCUGGCUGGGUCCCCUGUGCGACUACCCCUACCGGGUGACAACCACCUCCCGCUCGCGCCCGGGACCCGGCCCGUCUGCUGCACGGGGUGGGGAGGGUCCCGUCUGGCUCUGUGGGCACCGGGGGACCCGGCCGGGAGAAGCCUCACAGACUCCGGGUCGGGAGAAGCAUGCCCGGAGCAGUCCCCUGUCACUCAGCAACCCGUUGUGUGCGGGUUCCGAACCGAACCUCCUCACUAGCGCCCUUGCUCCCCGGGUCUGGACAUGGCCCCCCCAGCCCCCCAGAGCCAUGACGAGAGCGGCGGCGGCUCCACGGACCUGGAAGACACCGGCAGACUGGCGCACGUUCGCGGCCCUCUUCCUUCUCACUCUGCUCUACAGCGGCUUCGUCACCUUCAUCAAAAUGAAGUAGCCCCAGGAAAGCGGAGGUCCUGCACCCGCAGAGAAGGGAGGCUGGGACUCUGGCCUGUGUGUGGCGCCCCGGCCCCGCUUCGCCUGCCCCAUGCUCGUCUCCGUCCACCUGUGCCCAGGGCUCGGCCGCCCAACCCAGCCCAUGCUUCCUGAACCAGCGGCCCCGACUGUGGGCCCUCGCCUUCCCACCUGCCAGCCGGCCCCAUAAACAACCUUGCUCACA